rnacentral:rRNA from 1 species
UACGUAGGUGGCAAGCGUUGUCCGGAUUUAUUGGGUUUAAAGGGUGCGUAGGUGGUCAAUUAAGUCAGUGCUGAAAUAUUCCGGCUUAACCGGGAGGGUGGCAUUGAUACUGAUUGACUUGAGUAGAGUUGAGGUAGGCGGAAUUGACGGUGUAGCGGUGAAAUGCUUAGAUAUCGUCAAGAACACCGAUAGCGAAGGCAGCUUACUAAGCUCAAACUGACACUGAUGCACGAAAGUGUGGGGAUCAAACAGG